GAUGAACGCUGGCGGCGUGCCUAAUACAUGCAAGUCGAGCGAACAGACGAGGAGCUUGCUCCUCUGACGUUAGCGGCGGACGGGUGAGUAACACGUGGAUAACCUACCUAUAAGACUGGGAUAACUUCGUGAAACCGGAGCUAAUACCGGAUAACAUGUUGAACCGCAUGGUUCAACAGUGAAAGACGGUCUUGCUGUCACUUAUAGAUGGAUCCGCGCCGCAUUAGCUAGUUGGUAAGGUAACGGCUUACCAAGGCAACGAUGCGUAGCCGACCUGAGAGGGUGAUCGGCCACACUGGAACUGAGACACGGUCCAGACUCCUACGGGAGGCAGCAGUAGGGAAUCUUCCGCAAUGGGCGAAAGCCUGACGGAGCAACGCCGCGUGAGUGAAGAAGGUCUUCGGAUCGUAAAACUCUGUUAUUAGGGAAGAACAAAUGUGUAAGUAACUAUGCACGUCUUGACGGUACCUAAUCAGAAAGCCACGGCUAACUACGUG
rnacentral:rRNA from 1 species